rnacentral:rRNA from 1 species
ACGGGUGAGUAAUGUCUGGGAAACUGCCUGAUGGAGGGGGAUAACUACUGGAAACGGUAGCUAAUACCGCAUAACGUCGCAAGACCAAAGAGGGGGACCUUCGGGCCUCUUGCCAUCAGAUGUGCCCAGAUGGGAUUAGCUAGUAGGUGGGGUAAUGGCUCACCUAGGCGACGAUCCCUAGCUGGUCUGAGAGGAUGACCAGCCACACUGGAACUGAGACACGGUCCAGACUCCUACGGGAGGCAGCAGUGGGGAAUAUUGCACAAUGGGCGCAAGCCUGAUGCAGCCAUGCCGCGUGUAUGAAGAAGGCCUUCGGGUUGUAAAGUACUUUCAGCGGGGAGGAAGGUGUUGUGGUUAAUAACCACAGCAAUUGACGUUACCCGCAGAAGAAGCACCGGCUAACUCCGUGCCAGCAGCCGCGGUAAUACGGAGGGUGCAAGCGUUAAUCGGAAUUACUGGGCGCAAAGCGCACGCAGGCGGUCUGUCAAGUCGGAUGUGAAAUCCCCGGGCUCAACCUGGGAACUGCAUUCGAAACUGGCAGGCUAGAGUCUUGUAGAGGGGGGUAGAAUUCCAGGUGUAGC